UAGGGAAUCUUCCGCAAUGGACGAAAGUCUGACGGAGCAACGCCGCGUGAGUGAAGAAGGUUUUCGGAUCGUAAAACUCUGUUGUUAGGGAAGAACAAGUCAGGUAGUAACUGACCUGACCUCGACGGUACCUAACCAGAAAGCCACGGCUAACUACGUG
rnacentral:rRNA from 1 species